UUUUUGUUUUGUUUUGUUUUGUUUUCAUUUUUACUUCAACAGCUAUGGAACCAUUUUGCUUAGAGUCUCGAUUCUGGUAAAAACUCCCUCCAGGUCCUGUUCCAGUGGCACCUUCUUCAUGAAAUUUUCACCCCUGGGCAGGUCUUUUCCUUAUGUUUUCACAGCCAUUUGUCUGUGCCUCCAUCAUAGCCUUCAUCACAAUGAAUAAUAAGUUGCUCUUUUCACAAUCCUCGAAGUUAGAGUGUGAGCUCAUCAAAGCCCUGGACAGCUUCUAAUUCCUUUUUCUGUCCCCAGAGUGCAGCAGGGCAUCAGGCGCCUAGAAGAUGCUCAGUCAUCAGGGAACGUGAAGAGACAACUUUAAGCAGAGGCCUGUGCUAAGUGCUGGGGGCACACAGAUGACUAAAACAGAACACAUUUCCUGACUUCCAAACCCCCAGGUCAGAGCAAUGAACCUGGACACUGUUGGAGAUGGAAAAAAAGAACUAAGAUGGAGUCAGAGAAAAGGGACCCUACCUGUAAUUGCUGGAUGUGUAAAUGCCUUAGACAGUUCCACCCUGGAAAAAGUAAUCCCUUCCAAAUGCUGAAACCAGGCCAUCAGGAUCAGCUCUCUUCUUCUACCUGAGAUGGGUGCAAGCUGGGUAAAAAGACAUCAGGGAGAAAGACGAUUUAUGCUUGCUCUUCGGUGCACCACUGGGAACCACUGGGACAGAAUGCAAUGCAAGGUUCUCCUUCUGUGUAUUACAACACACGAACAGGCUAAACCAGAUUUCCCUCCCUAAGAAAAAAAACUAAAGCUCUUUAAAAGCACCAUUUAUGUACAAUAGCAAAUAUGUUCAUUGUAGAUCACUUUUAGCUGUUCAUUAAACCAAAUCCCCUGGGGACAUUUUAUGCCAAUGCUUUGGAAAUUAGUCCUUGUUACUUUAUGUAAUUGAAAACAAUAAAGCUAAGUGCCUGUUA